rnacentral:SRP_RNA from 2 species
GCUGGGCAUGGUGGUGAGUGCCUGUAGUCCCAGCUACUUGAGAGGCUGAGAUGGGAGGAUCACUUGAGCCCGGGAGGUCAAGGCUGCAGUGAGUCGUGACUGCACCACUGCACUCCAGCCUGGGUGACAGAGUGAGACCCUGUCUCAA